GCGGUUGCCGUGGCAGCGCCGGCUCCAGGGAGGGCUGCUGGCGCCGGGCCGGGACCGCGGGGCCUGAGGCGGAGACCGGAGAGCCCGAGGCCCGGCCGGAGGCAGCUCGGGACAGGCUUGAGCGGCGGGGCGCGCUGCCCGGCCGGCGGGGAUGCGGGACCGGCUGCCAGACCUGACGGCGUGUAGGAAGAAUGAUGAUGGAGACACAGUUGUUGUGGUUGAGAAAGAUCAUUUCAUGGAUGAUUUCUUCCAUCAGGUGGAGGAGAUUAGAAACAGUAUUGAUAAAAUAACUCAAUAUGUUGAAGAAGUAAAGAAAAACCACAGCAUCAUUCUUUCUGCACCAAACCCGGAAGGAAAAAUAAAAGAAGAGCUUGAAGAUCUGAACAAAGAAAUCAAGAAAACUGCGAAUAAAAUUCGAGCCAAGUUAAAGGCUAUUGAACAAAGUUUUGAUCAGGAUGAGAGUGGGAACCGGACUUCAGUGGAUCUUCGGAUACGAAGAACCCAGCAUUCGGUGCUGUCUCGGAAGUUUGUGGAAGCCAUGGCGGAGUACAAUGAGGCACAGACUCUGUUUCGGGAGCGGAGCAAAGGCCGCAUCCAGCGCCAGCUGGAGAUAACAGGCUUUCAGGGUAGAACGUGUGCAGCCGGCCCUGUCUUCUGACUUGCUUGACAACACUUGGGACCACUGGUCAGGCUGGAUGAGCAUCUUGAUGAGAGGUUGCCUGUGCCGGAGGCAUCGUCUUCAGACCUCAUUGCAGAACAGCUUGGCAUGCACGAGUCGAGCAUCGGUCAUCACGGUGGUUUUGCUUCAGGAUGGCGUCACUCUGGCCACACAGCGGGCUGUCUUCAUACAGUGGUCUUCUCCAAAUCCUUGCACCUAAAACCAUUUUGUCCCCUUUCUUUCUUCCUUCCGUCAGCCCUGUCAUCAGGCAGGUUUCUUACCUUGUAUCACAGGAUAUCUUUUCCUGUGCUGUAUGCUUUGUUUCUUCAAAUGGCAAGUGAGUUUCUUCUUGGACCAGGGCAUGUUACAUAGGUCCACAGUGCUUUCUCUGGAAUGGUUGGGGCUGUAUGUGUUUCAGAGUUCAGAAUUUUUCAGAUUUUAGGAAGAUAGUACAAUGUAUAAGAGGUGUAUUAUGUAAUCCCCAGGUGGGGUCUAGGACUGCACCCUGUAAUCAGGCACAUUCACACAGCUCUCCAGUGAAAUCUGGGAGAACCACCACAGACGACGAGCUAGAAGAGAUGCUGGAGAGCGGGAAGCCAUCCAUCUUCACUUCCGACAUUAUAUCAGAUUCACAAAUUACUAGACAAGCUCUCAAUGAAAUCGAGUCACGUCACAAGGACAUCAUGAAGCUGGAGACCAGCAUCCGAGAGUUGCAUGAGAUGUUCAUGGACAUGGCUAUGUUUGUGGAGACUCAGGGUGAAAUGAUCAACAACAUAGAAAGAAAUGUUAUGAAUGCCACAGACUAUGUAGAACACGCUAAAGAAGAAACAAAAAAAGCUAUCAAAUAUCAGAGCAAGGCAAGAAGGCAACAACAUUGUCCUAGCAACCAUAUCCCAAGAGCCAUUUAUCCUUGAGACUCAGACCACAUCUGCAACCAAAUCAGCAUCCUGUCAUUUCGUGAAUGAAUCUCAGACGCUGUAACCCGGCAUCGAGUGCUGACCUUGUAAUGUAUGAGUUCACGGAAGAAGCACAACCGAACGUCUUGUUCAGUGACAGCGCCGUAAGCACAGUGGGUGUGAUGCGUGACCCUGAAUGACACACUACAGAAUGUGAGCAGUGUGAGACUUCUCUCACUGGCCUUGAAAUAAGAAAAUAUUGAACAUUUUAAUAUUAAAAAUAUUUCAGUGUUAACAAAUGUGCAUGAAGUUUAAUUAGGAAGGAAUGCUUUAUGUUAUGAAGGCUUUUUUUUUUUUUUUUGAGACGGAGUCUCGCUUUGUCAUCCAGGCUGGAGUGCAGUGGUGCGAUCUCAGCUCACUGCAACCUCGGCCUCCCGGGUUCAAGCAAUUCUCCUGCCUCAGCCUCCCGAGUAGCUGGGAUUACAGGCAUGGGCCACCACACCCAGCUAAUUUUUUGUGUUUUCUUUUUAGUAGAGACGGGGUUUUACCAUGCUGGCCAGGCUGGCCUCAAACUCCUGACCUUGUGAUCCACCCACCUCAGCCUCCCAAAGUGCUGGGAUUACAGGCGUGAGUCACCGGGCAGGCUGUUCUGAAGCUUUUAGAUCUCAGGUCUAAGGCUUCCUUUCCCUCCCUCUCCCAGCUAGUUUGUGCUAAUUAAGAGACCUUUUAUACUGUUUUAUUGCCUGUUUGAAGAAAUAAUUUUUAUCACGUUUUUGUAAGAUAUCUAUAAUUUUAAAUGUUUAUAAAUUGUUUAAUUUAUUAGCAUCUUAAUGUACCCCAUUUUUAUAUACUGAAUGUGGCCUUUUGAGUGAAAUAGGAAGCUUCAUGGUGUUGGAGCCACCUUUGUACAGUUGUUUAAAGUUUCCCAUUGUCACGGAAAACAUUGGCUGCAAAGCCCCUCAAAGCCCUCAAGUGCCUUCUGUGAGUUUAAAUGUGCUGGUGCCCUCCAGAAAAGCCUCGGCCUCAGCUCCGUUUCCGCCUGUUCCCUCCCCCAGGAUAAUGAAUGGUUACUGCACUGUAAAGACCGUGGUCUCUUUUCACUAAAUAGGAGAUUCGAGUUUCCCAGUUUACAUGAAUGAAGUCUGAAUUUAAGACGGUGAUGAAACUGAGGUUCAGUACUCUCGGGACUCGAGGAAAUUAUUCCUGAGACAUGGAGUAAUUCUUACAAAUUUAAACUAUUGUACAGAUCCACAUACAUGUUGUUAAGUACCUAAUGUUUUGCUGAACUUUUAAAAGUUAAUUUCCAAAAUGUAUAGGGAUUCAUGAUAAUUAAACCUUUUUAUUGCUCAUUUUUUUAGUAGAAGAAUAUCACUUAUUUUUAGACUUGUAAAAUGUAUGAACUGGUGAGCGGACAUCUGUUAAGAGAGUCACUAGUCAGAAUGUUAAAGGAGUGCAUGCAGGAUGCCCCAAAUGUCGUGAACUCUUGUUACUCCUGUAUGUAGUAGUGUAAGCAUGUGACUUUUAACACCAUUUGGUUUGAAACUAAUGUAGAGAUGCCUGAUUCCAAACAGGUGUGGAGAAUAUUGAAUGGCUCAGAAGCCGCGUCCCUUACUUAACACAAUUCCGAAUCUCCCUCAUCCAUGAUGCGUCCAUUGGAUCACUCGCUGGUGGUCACUGUGUGGCAGUUACUAGGGGAAUUCUGCCUCUGACUGUUCUUUUUCUUUUGGUCUUUAAACACCCUGUCGUGGGAUGUGCUCACUGAUUUGUGGCUAUGUUGAAGGUAUCACUUGUCUUGAGGGUUUUCAAUAUUUCAGGAUCAUGCUGGUGGCAAAAGGACUCCACGCCUCUGUGGAAUCAUGUCCACAGGGGGACCUGCCUCCCGUGAUGUCCCACCUUUCCUUCAAGGUCUGUCAUAUGAGUCCUCCCCUUUUACAACACUUAUUAUGGUAUUUUUCAAGUUAUUCUUCUUAGAUUUGCAGUACCUACUGAAAUUUGUGUUUUUAUAGUUGAAGUUAGGAAAAUGCUAUUUGAUUUGUAUUUAGAUAUUUAAGUCACUUGUCCAAUGAUGUGUAUGUCUAAGCCUCAUGUACCGAUUUGAAGUCAGACUUAAAAAUGUAUUUACAGAUUCACUUGAGACUUUUUAAUCGGUUCUUCAAAUAUUUCAUGUUUACAUUAAAAAUUUCCAGAGAAGCAUAAAAGUAUUCACUUUCCUGCCUUGUCAUUUCUGGAAAGAUUUUGGGGAGAUAUUUUAUUGCAUAUUAAUUAAUAAAUUGUUCUACUAGGAAAA